rnacentral:rRNA from 1 species
AUACGGAGGAUGCGAGCGUUAUCCGGAUUUAUUGGGUUUAAAGGGAGCGUAGGUGGACAUGUAAGUCAGUUGUGAAAGUUUGGGGCUCAACCUUAAAAUUGCAGUUGAUACUGGUUUCCUUGAGUACGGUACAGGUGGGCGGAAUUCGUGGUGUAGCGGUGAAAUGCUUAGAUAUCACGAAGAACUCCGAUCGCGAAGGCAGCUCACCGGGCCGGAACUGACACUGAUGCUCGAAAGUGCGGGUAUCAAACAGGAUUAGAUACCCUGGUAGUCCGCACAGUAAACGAUGAAUACUCGCUGUUUGCGAUACACUGUAAGCGGCCAAGCGAAAGCGUUAAGUAUUCCACCUGGGGAGUACGCCGGCAACGGUGAAACUCAAAUGAAUUGACGGGG